AGAGUUUGAUCCUGGCUCAGGAUGAACGCUAGCGGUGUGCCUAAUGCAUGCAAGUCGAACGGGAUCCUUGGACUCGUCUAAGGUGAGAGUGGCGAACGGGUGAGUAACACGUUGGUGACCUACCCCAGAGAGGGGGAUAACUAUUGGAAACGAUAGCUAAUACCCCGGAUGUCAUUAUUGUUAGAGAGUAAUGACUAAAGCUCCGGCGCUCUGGGAGGGGCCUGCGGCCCAUCAGCUAGUUGGUCAGCUAGUUGGUAAGGUAAUGGCUUACCAAGGCAGAGACGGGUAGGGGGCGUGAGAGCGUGACCCCCCACACUGGUACUGACACACGGACCAGAUACCUACGGGUAGCAGCAGCAAGGAAUAUUGCCCAAUGGACGAAAGUCUGAGGCAGCAACGCCGCGUGGAGGAAGAAGGCCUUCGGGUUGUAAACUCCUUUUCUGGGGGAAGAGAAAGGACGGUACCCCAGGAAUAAGUCUCGGCUAACUACGUGCCAGCAGCCGCGGUAAAACGUAGGAGGCGAGCGUUAUCCGGAUUUACUGGGCGUAAAGCGCGUGUAGGCGGUUUUCUAAGUCGGACGUGAAAGCUCCUGGCUCAACUAGGAGAGGCCGUUCGAAACUGAAAGACUUGAGGGUGGUAGAGGAGAGUGGAAUUCCCGGUGUAGUGGUGAAAUGCGUAGAUAUCGGGAGGAACACCAGUGGCGAAGGCGGCUCUCUGGGCCAUUCCUGACGCUCAGAUGCGAAAGCUAGGGGAGAGAACGGGAUUAGAAACCCCGGUAUUCCUAGCCGUAAACGAUGUCAACUAGGUGUAGGAGGUCAUUUACCCCUUCUGUACUGCAGCUAACGCGUUAAGUUGACCGCCUGGGGACUACGGCCGCAAGGCUAAAACUCAAAGGAAUUGACGGGGACCCGCACAAGCAGCGGAGCGUGUGGUUUAAUUCGAGGCUACGCGAAGAACCUUACCAGGGCUUGACAUAUAGCUGGUAGCGACUCGAAAGAGAAGCGACCCUUCGGGGAGGCUAUACAGGUGUUGCAUGGCUGUCGUCAGCUCGUGCUGUGAAGUGUCGGGUUAAGUCCCUUAACGAGCUUAACCCUUGUCGUUAGUUGCCAGCAUGUAAUGAUGGGCACUUUAGCGAGACUGCCGGUGUUAAACCGGAGGAAGGCGGGGACGACGUCAAGUCCUCAUGGCCCUUAUGCCCGGGGUUGCACACGUGCUACAAUGGGGCGGUACAGAGCGACGCGAAACCGCGAGGUGGAGCAAAUCGCAGAAAACGCCCCCCAGUUCGGAUUGCAGUCUGCAACUCGACUGCAUGAAGUUGGAAUCGCUAGUAAUCGCGUAUCAGCUAUGACGCGGUGAAUAUGUUCCUGAGCCUUGUACACACCGCCCGUCAAGUCAUGGAAGCUGGCAGCACCCGAAGUCCGCUUUGCUAACCUCGUGAGGCGGCGGCCGACGGUAAGACCGGUGACUGGGACUAAGUCGUAACAAGGUAACC
rnacentral:rRNA from 1 species